GUACUGCUGAAGAGUCCCAAACUAGGACGAACAAGCUGUCCAGUAC
rnacentral:hammerhead_ribozyme from 1 species